AGUGAACGCUGGCGGUAGGCCUAACACAUGCAAGUCGAACGGCAGCACAGUAAGAGCUUGCUCUUACGGGUGGCGAGUGGCGGACGGGUGAGGAAUACAUCGGAAUCUACUUUUUCGUGGGGGAUAACGUAGGGAAACUUACGCUAAUACCGCAUACGACUUACGGGUGAAAGCAGGGGAUCUUCGGACCUUGCGCGAUUGAAUGAGCCGAUGUCGGAUUAGCUAGUUGGCGGGGUAAAGGCCCACCAAGGCGACGAUCCGUAGCUGGUCUGAGAGGAUGAUCAGCAACACUGGAACUGAGACACGGUCCAGACUCCUACGGGAGGCAGCAGUGGGGAAUAUUGGACAAUGGGCGCAAGCCUGAUCCAGCCAUACCGCGUGGGUGAAGAAGGCCUUCGGGUUGUAAAGCCCUUUUGUUGGGAAAGAAAAGCAGCAGGUUAAUACCCCGCUGUUCUGACGGUACCCAAAGAAUAAGCACCGGCUAACUUCGUG
rnacentral:rRNA from 1 species